rnacentral:rRNA from 1 species
AUUGAACGCUGGCGGCAGGCUUAACACAUGCAAGUCGAGCGGGGUGAUGGUGCUUGCACUAUCACUUAGCGGCGGACGGGUGAGUAAUGCUUAGGAAUCUGCCUAUUAGUGGGGGACAACAUUUCGAAAGGAAUGCUAAUACCGCGUACGUCCUACGAGAGAAAGCAGGGGAUCUUCGGACCUUGCGCUAAUAGAUGAGCCUAAGUCGGAUUAGCUAGUUGGUGGGGUAAAGGCCUACCAAGGCGACGAUCUGUAGCGGGUCUGAGAGGAUGAUCCGCCACACUGGGACUGAGACACGGCCCAGACUCCUACGGGAGGCAGCAGUGGGGAAUAUUGGACAAUGGGCGGAAGCCUGAUCCAGCCAUGCCGCGUGUGUGAAGAAGGCCUUUUGGUUGUAAAGCACUUUAAGCGAGGAGGAGGCUCUUAAGGUUAAUACCCUUGAUGAGUGGACGUUACUCGCAGAAUAAGCACCGGCUAACUCUGUGCCAGCCGCCGCAGUAAAAC